CCUACGGGGGGCAGCAGUGAGGAAUAUUGGUCAAUGGACGAGAGUCUGAACCAGCCAAGUAGCGUGAAGGAUGACUGCCCUAUGGGUUGUAAACUUCUUUUAUAAAGGAAUAAAACGAGGCACGUGUGCCUUUUUGCAUGUACUUUAUGAAUAAGGAUCGGCUAACUCCGUGCCAGCAGCCGCGGUAAUACGGAGGAUCCGAGCGUUGUCCGGAUUUAUUGGGUUUAAAGGGAGCGUAGGUGGGUUGGUAAGUCAGUUGUGAAAGUUUGGGGGUCAACCGUAAAAUUGCAAUUGAUACUGGCAGUCUUGAGUACAGUAGAGGGAGGCGGAAUUCGUGGUGUAGCGGUGAAAUGCUUAGAUAUCACGAAGAACCCCGAUUGCGAAGGCAGCUGACUAACCUGUGACUGACAUUGAUGCACGAAAGUGUGGGUAUCAAACAGGAUUAGAUACCCGGGUAGUC
rnacentral:rRNA from 1 species